CUCUAGUGGCAGUGAGCGGGGGGGGUGCGCAGGCUUCUCUUUGCAGUGGCUUCCUUUGUUGCGGAGCACGGGCUCUAGGCACGCAGGCUUCAGUAGUUGUGGCUCGCAGGCUCUAGAGCGCAGGCUCAGUAGUUGUGGCGCACAGGCUUAGUUGCUCCACGGCAUGUGGGAUCUUCCCGGACCAGGGCUCAAACCCGUGUCCUCUGCAUUGGCAGGCGGGUUCUUAACCACUGCGCCACCAGGGAAGCCCCAUCUAUUCUUUUUCAAAGUCUAUUCCCAAUUAGAUUAUUACAGAACACUGAGCAGAGUUCCCUGUGCUAGGUUGAUUGGUUUUUUAGAAUAAGAAAUUUGGAGAGAUCGCCAGCAGGUACAGAAUUCUGUGUGACUCUUGAAUAUCUCUCAAAUCUGUUCAUGUCUUCUGUUUCUACUGCUUGAGUCCAGGCUUCCUCUUCUCUUGCCUGCUCCCUGCUGUUCUUUUUUUUUUUUAAUUUAAUUUAUUUAUUUUAUUUUUGGCUGCGUUGGGUCUUUGUUGCAUCACGCGGGCUUUCUCUAGUUGCGGCGAUCGGGGCUACUCUUCAUUGUGGUACAUGGGCUUCUCAUUGCAGUGGCUUCUCUUGUUGCGGAGCACGGGCUCUGGGUGCACAGGCUUCAGUAGUUGUGGGUCGCGGGCUCUAGAGCGCAGGCUCAGUAGUUGUGGCGCAUGGGCUUAGUUGCUCUGCGGCAUGUGGGAUCUUCCCGGACCAGGGUUCGAACCCGUGUCCCCUACAUUGGCAGGCGGAUCCUUAACGCUGCGCCACCAGGGAAGUCCCCAUCAGAGGACUUCUGAGAAGUGGGAAGCUGUCUCUUCCACUCUCUUCCCUUCAUUUUUCUAUGGGGGAGGGGGGGAACUUCCUUCUGAUCCAAGACUUGACAGUUGUCAUAAUAAUUCGUUCCUGAAUGCUGCAGGGAAGUGGCUGUGGUUUCUGUGGAAAGUCCCAGGAAAAUUCUUAUUUUCUUGUCUCCUGUAACCAAUUCAACCCAGAUUUCUUUGCUGAGGCCACCGUCAUCAACUUUUAUUUUUACACUUUCCCAAACCUUUUUAAUGAAAAUUUUCAAACAUAGAGAAAAGCUAAACUAAUUUCACAGUGAACACUUGUGUACCCAUCACCUAGAUUUGACCAUUCCCAUUUUACUCUGCUGUUUGCUUUAUCACACGUCCACCCGUCUUUCCAUCUCUCUGUCUAUCCAUCACUCCCUCUGAUUUUUCUGAUGCAUUUCAAAGUCGAUGUCACCACUUCCCUCUCUACGCUAUCGCAGGUGUAGCUCUGUGCCAGCCAGAUUCCUAUCGUGAAUCAGAAACUUACCAUCAUUUAGAGGGUUUCCUUGCACCCCUUCUGGGUCCGUUUCUGGGUUUCAGAAAGGAGUAGGGGAGAUAGGAGUAAUGCAGUGGAAAGAUGGGGGCUAGACCUUGAAGGCCCUCGUAGACCAUGAUGAGUUUAAUAGUAAGAUCACUACUAUUGAUGAUGAUGAUGAUGAUGAUAUACUGGAUAUUUUUUUGUUUGCUCUUUCAGGUCCGCUCUCCACCUUUCCCUGUCAUACUCUUGGGAAUAGGAUCCAACCUUGGGAGGCUGAUCAGUGUGGACUACCAUGGGCUUUCUUGACCUCUAGUUUCCUGUGGGUUGGCCAGUGGGGACACUGACAAGAGAUUGGAAGGAGGGGUGUUUAUUUCCCCAACUCCCUCCCUGAUACGGCGGUUGCCUCCAGCUGACUGUGUCUUUCCACCCAAGGCCACAGCUCCUGUCUGGAGGUCCACUCCACACACAUCUGGGUUCUUUCAGGCCUGGGGGUAAUCAAAGCUCCCAUCUUUCUAGACCUGAAGUGCUGCAUCACCCUUGUGGUUUCCCUGCACCGCACCAUCUUUGGAAAUAGUCUUUUAUUUUUUUAAUUGAAGUAUAGUUGAUUCAGAAUAUUGUGUAGUUUCAGGUAUACAGCAAAGUGAUUCAGUUUUGUGUGUGUGUGUGUUUGUGUGUGUAUGUGUAUUUUAGAUUCUUUUCCAUUAUAGGUUAUUACAGUAUAUUGAAUAUAGUUCCCUGUGCUAUACCCUAAAUCCCUAUUGCUUAUCUGCUUUAUACAUAGUAGUGUGUAUCUGUUAAUCCCAUAUUCCUAAUUUAUCCCUCUUCCCCCUCCCUUUCCCCUUUGGUAACCAUAAGUUUGUUUUCUAUGUCUGUGAUUGUGUUUCUGUUUUGUAGAUAGAUUCAUUUGUAUUAUUUUUUUAGAUUCCACAUAUAAGUGAUAUCAUGUAAUAUUUUCUUUCUCUGUCUUCACUUAGUAUGAUAUUCUCUAGGCCCAUUCAUUUUGCUGCAAACGGCAAUAUUUCAUUUUUUUGUGGCUAAUAGUAAAUAAUCAUUUUAUUAAACUCUCCCCAGUCGAUCAGUUUGGAUUUGCUGUUUCCUGCUUAGACUCUGAGUGAGGCAGCAGCUAACUGUACUGAGAAUAUCCUAAGAGACAUUCUUCCAAGAGCUUUAUAGGAAACAAUGUAUUUUUUUUAACAUCUUUAUUGGGGUAUAAUUGCUUUACAAUGGUGUGUUAGUUUCUGCUUUAUAACAAAGUGAAUCAGUUAUACAUAUACAUAUGUUCCCAUAUCUCUUCCCUCUUGCGUCUCCCUCCCUCCCACCCUCCCUAUCCCACCCCUCCAGGCGAUCACAAAGCACUGAGCUGAUAUCCCUGUGCUAUGCGGCUACUUCCCACUAGCUCUCUACCUUACGGGAAACAAUGUAUUUAAUCCACCUGAUGACCCUAUGGAGAAACAGAGGUCUGGAGAGGUGGUCUCUAGCUCAGCAUUUCAGAACGAGGAAGUGGCUGACCCAGGAUUUGAACCAUCAGGAAUCUGAACUGCUAAGAGUAACUUAGUAACCGGGAGCCGCUGUGGGAGUUUUAAGCCAAGAAGUCAGUGAACUUCUAUUUGGCUAAUGCGUCGACAACAUUCAACUAAAUCCUGCACCGGAGACCCAGACAAAUGGACUCUGCCUGGGUUCCAGGAUGUCUUCUUGGAGGAGGUGACGUUGGAGCAGGGCUUUAAAGGACAAGUAGCAAAGGCCUGAGAGAAUCCGCCUUGUUCUGGGAAGAGGGUGCAGCAUUGUGUCCGGGAAAGCCCAGCGAUGAGGCUGGGGAAAUAGGUCAGGACUCAUUUGGGAAAGUACCUUGGCUUUGGGACUUUGUCCUAUAACUCACUUUGGAGCUUGCGAACCAGCAAAUUUCAAAGACAAAGUUAGAGGUCAGACAUAGGGUGGUCAACUUUUUAUUCUGCCAGUUUGGACUUAAAGAAAAAAGAGAGGGAGAGAGAGAGAUACCAUUUUGUUAAUUCUAAAAGCAUUUAUUGAGUACCUACUGUGUAUUAAGGAAUGUUCUGGGGCAGGGUCUGAGUUUGUUUUUCCCACUCUUGUACCCUCAGAGUCGAGAGUCACGGAAAGCCCCUAAUAGAAGGAAUGAGUAAAAUUAAAGGCAUUUGCUAGGGUAAGGUCAGUGUGGGAAUAAGCUGCUGGGAAUGAGGUCAAGGCGUGCGAGGCUGUAGAUGAGGUUGGAGAUAGAAGGGAAUAAAUUUGGAAGUCUUCGGUGUUUAGGUUAUUAUCAGUUUUAAAACUAAUUCAUUUUAUUUUUAUGGUUAUUUCCUGUAUUCUGGGGAUUUCAUAAAUAAAGAUGAAAAAGAUUUCCCUGGUGAGUCUCUUUCUUAGUUGCAGCAGGGGCAACCAUGCCAUGGGGAUUUUCCUCUUAGGGACUCCGGAACCGGGAGACACUGCAUUUUGUGGGUGAAAACGCCAGCGGUAGAGUGAAAGCUGUCACUUGCUGAACACUCAUCAUGACCCAGGCGCUGUCCAGAGCUCUGUCCACAUAUUAACUCAUUUAAUUGUCAUGACAGUAAAAUGCAAAGUCCUUACUCUCAUGAUCCCGUCCCUGCCCCGCUCUCACACAUUACCUCCUGCCACUCAUAUAACCUCCUGCCUCCUGCCUCCUGCUUCCUGCCUUUUUCACUCCAGCCUGCUUCCCAUUCUUCCUACACACCAAGCUCAUGUCCACCCCCAGCCCUUUGCACCGGCCAUCCCCUCUGCUGGGAAAGCUCUCUCUCCAUCUUUGGACGGCUUCCUCUCCUUCAUUCUCAUGUCGGCUGGAGCGUGACCACCUUAUGAGAAACAGCAUCUCUUCUUCCACACCCCCAGCCCUCCAGCCCUCUACUCUGCUUUACCCCUCUUCGUAGCAGUUCUCUCUUCUGACAUCCUAUUGUACAUGUAUCUGUUUUUUAUGCAACUGCCCCACAUGAAUGUCAGCUCCAUGAGGGCGGGAACUUUGUCUCACCAUCCUUUCCUCCUCACCCAGAGCAGUAGGAGCUCAAUAAACAUCAGGACCCUGAGUGAUGGAAACAAUCUGUCGAGGUAAAACUGCUAUCAUCCCAUUUUACAGAUGAGGAAUCUAAGGCACAGGGAGGUUAAGUCACUCAGUUGACAAACGGCAGAGAUGGGAUUCAGAUCCAAGCAGCCCAGCUUAAAGAUCGGACCAGGGGCCUGCAGGUUUCCCAUAUCAUUUAGCUUUUGCUAUAAUAAUGCUGUGUAACAAACCACCCCGACUCUCAGUAGCAUUUAUUUAGCUCACGAAGUUUGUGGUGGGCAGUUUUAGGCCGGGCUUGGCUGGAUGGUUUUCCUGGGCUCAGCUGUGCUUACCCACAUGUCCGGGGAUCUGGUGUUGGCUGAUCUAGCCUGGUCUUGGCUGGGGUGGCUGGGAGACUUGGUUUUGCUCCACAUGUCUGUCCUUUCCAAGAGGCUAGCCCAGGCUUGUUCUCAUGGAAGCAAAAGUACAGGUAAAAACGUACCAGGCCCCUCCAUUAAGACGUAGGCUGGAGAUUGGCACUCUGUCAUUUCCAACUCAUUCUGCUGGUGAAAGCAAGUCACACAGCCAACCCAGAGUCAUAUAACUACAAAGUUACAUGGUCAAGAGCAUGGACACAGGAAGGGGUGAGGAACUGGGGCCAAAAGUACAAUCUGCCAUAGUUCCCAUCAGCUGAAAGAUCUUGGGCUCUGCUCCCCAGCAGGAGAGGUCAGAGGCCAUUUGACAGAGGGUCCGAGGGAGCUCCCGUUUCAUGCUUCUUUGAAGGAAACACUCAGGAUCAGGGUGGACAGGGUUUGUGUGGGGGGAAGGGAACAACGUAGUAGAGAGUGGAUGGGGGAAGAAGCUAUUGUGUCUGCAUUUCUCGUUUGGGUGUGGCCAUCUAGAGGAAGCUGGCUGGAAGCUUGGAAGCCGUCCACGUUAUCUGGUUGAGGAGUGAGUGCUUUAGUUGAUCAUAGUCAUGGCAUUAUCUGAUUUGAGGUUUUUCACCUAAAUGGAUUAAUUUAGAUCUAUCUAUCAAUCGAUUAUACAUUGGCUAUGUUUUUCUGAAUUUUUGUCUUUGGCUCAGUGAAGCCUUGGUUUGUAAAUAAUGGUGCAGAUGGGGGUUUCAUGCAUCCUAAGAUCUUUUGAGUCAUUUCAAAACCUUUCCUCCUAGUUCUUGUGUAAGCUUUGGGCUUUGCAAACCCGCCUUCCAUGCUGCAUGCCCUGCAGAAGCCACUUAAUCAUCACAACAGCUCUAUAUAGCCAGACUACGAUUAUUUCCAUUUGACAAGCCAGGAAGAUUUAGUGGUUUCCACAAGCCAGUUUCCCAGAACUUUUGCUGCUUGUAAAAAUGAUUGGACCCAGAUGAUUCUAGAACUUCCCUGGAUACAAAAAGCGAGGCUGGCUACGCUGUCACCAGCAGAAUAGAGACAGCUGUCCUGGCACAGGGGCAUGAGGCAGGGAUUCAGACACACUCCUGUUACAGGAGGGGGGACCCCUUCCAGGGCUCUUGUCUAACACUCGGAAAUGAACUGUCCAAGGAGACACAUUUGCUGACGAAGCACGAGACUUUACUGGGAAGGGGCACCUGGGCGGAGAGCAGCAGGGUAAGGGAAUCCAGGAGGACUGCUCUGCCACGUGGCUUGCAGUUUCGGGUUUGAUGGUAAUGGGAUUAGUUUCCGGGUUCUCUCUGGCCAAUCACUCUGACUAUAAGUCCUUCCUGGUGGAGCUCGCAUCACUCAACCAAGAUGGAUUCAAGCGAGGACUCUGGGAGGCUGGUAGGACAUAUGGACUGGAGUCUCCUCUCUCCUUUUGACCUUUCCUGAAUUCUUCCGGUUGGUGGUAGCGAGUAAUGUUCUAAGAGCUUCAUGAAGACUAACUCAUUUCACACGAACAGAAACAACCACACCACAAGGAAUACUUAUUGAAUGCCUCCUAUGUGCCAGGUGCUGUUCUGAGCACGGGGGCACACGAGUAAUCAAAGCAGCCUAACUGGUAGAGGUACUUUUAGCAGAAGAAUUCAAGGACCCCGAGGAAGGGAAGGGAAGAAAGAACAUCCUGACUGAUGAACCUGGGCACGCUGAGACCCUCCCAUUUGCUACAUAGGUUUCUUUGUAGGGGGAAAAAAAAAAAGACCACACCUGCAGAGAAAGUGGUUUAUCGAUUGGAUCCCCACACAGCGGGAACAUGGUGGAGAUGCAGGGAAAGGAUUUCACCUGUCACUCAGAGCAUCACCUUCACGCUUGAGAUUUCUUGAUUUUCUUCACUGAGGUUUCAGAGGCUUGAUUGCCUCCAUGGCCACGGGCGGAUGCACUGGACAGUAAUUGGACACAGUCUUGGGGUCAGUGUUAAUGAGUCUUUGUUUUUCCAGUCAGUCCCAUGGAGGGCAAAGGUCUGUUUCUCCUUUGCUCUCUGCUCUUCCCAUGUCGACUCCUGCUGUCUCAUGCCUGCUCCAAAGACUGUGCUGUCCUCUCUCUGCCCCUCUCUCACCUUCUCUUGCCACUAAUCCUUCCCAGAUCCUCUUCCUUCCAUUUCUCGUCCUGCAAACUCUCUGGCUUCUUCCCUCUCAGACUCUCCUCUCUCCAUCUUUUGCCUUUUGCCCUUGUCGCUUCUAUUUACAUCUUUUCUCCCCUCUCUCCUCUUCUUCCUCUGUGCCUCACUCUUCCUCCUGUACAUACUUACCUCAUCGUAUCUCUCCACCUGCCUCAUCCUUCCUUCUCACUGUGGCACCUGACCCCACCUCUUUAUCCAGCUCUGUCUCUUCCCAUCCUCCCCGGACGCUCUUACCUUUUUUAUUGCUAGCAAUACCUCCAAGCUCUAUCCUGGUCAAAGUUUGGAGAGAGUGAGCACCAACGCCUCCAAAAAAUACUCCCAGGGGCUUCCCUGGUGGCGCAGUGGUCGAGAGUCCACCUGCCGAUGCAGAGGACACGGGUUCGUGCCCCGGUCCGGGAAGAUCCCACAUGCUGCGGAGCGGCUGGGCCCGUGAGCCAUGGCCGCUGAGCCUGCGCGUCCGGAGCCUGUGCUCCGCAGCGGGAGAGGCCACAACAGUGAGAGGCCCGCGUACCGAAAAAAAGAAAAAAAACUACACCCAAGACAGUUUAAUCUCCUGUAUUCCAUAUCCCACUAUUUUCUGGUUGUACCAAAACCAAACAAACAAGCAAACAAAAAACAACUAGCAAAUGAUUGUAUGCUUUUAAAAAAUUACACUUAACAAAUGGGAUGAGGUAGGAUUCCUCUUUCUUUUUUUGGCUGCGUUGGGUCUUUGUUGCUGCGUGCGGGCUUUUCUCUGGUUGCGGCGGGCGGGAGCUACCGGUGCGCAGGCUUCUCAUUGCCGUGGUUUCUCUUGUUGCAGAGCUCGGGCUCUAGGCACACGGGCUUCAGUAGUUGUGGCGCACAGGUUUAGUUGCUCUGCAAGAAGGACCAGGGCUCGAACCCGUGUUCCCCGCAUUGGCAGGCGGAUUCUUAACCCCCUGCGCCACCAGGGAAGCCCGGAAUUCCUCUUUCUUAAAAAUGUUUCUAGAGCUACUAACAACUUGCAUUUACAAAGGAGUUGAAAAAAGUAUUCCUCUGGACUGUACAAGAAGGGAAACAGGGACCACUGAUAAGGCAUGGUAUAUGAUAUUAAUCAGACUUCUUUUUCUCCUUCUUCAUCAGAGCCUGGAUUCUCCUUGGUUUUAGUUUCUCCACUUUCUGCAGGUGUGGAGAUACAGAUACGAAAAGGACACAGUUCCUGCCAGCUAGGAUCACUGCCUUGAAGGAAACAGACAUUGUCUCCGAGGCACGGAAGGCGGGGCCUGCUUCACCGGACAGAUCAACUCGAAGCCCCAUUGGUCGAUACGAAAGCAUCUGAUGAGCUCAUUGGAUGAGCCUGGAGGAACGCCACACCCCAUUGGCCUAUCCCAGGCUGUCUUGCUAGUACGCAUGCGCAGGACGCCGAGUGGCUGGCAAGCCGGGGGACCCAGAACUCGCUGGUCUUUGCCGCGCUAGGCCUGCAGGGCGGGGCGGGGCGGGGCGAGCGGUGCCUCCCCAAAUGGCCUUGCUUACACUUUUAUCUCUUUGGGUUAUAGAAUCCCUACUUCUCCAGCCACACUAGGAAGUCAAACCCUUGGCUUUCACCCACUGAACUUUUCUCCCUGUCCAGCAUGUUUCCAGCCUGGCCCCUGCCCCAGCACCCAUCCAGUGGCCGUAGCCACUGGAAGUCGACUUGGUCUCCUCACCCGUCACUUGCAGUGGUUCCUGCUCAGCCCAGGCCUCAUCCUCUGAACACGUCAUGGCACCAGCCUCUUCCGUGACCUUCUGGAAGGCUGAAUAGGGUAAUGCGGGCUUCAGUGUUACUUCCGGCACCCCUGAAUGACCGAUUGCCAUCGUAUCUAACCCACGUGUCAGUGUCAGUACCAUGAACACGUUGUGUCAUUCAGAUUUCUUGUUCAUGGCUGGAAAAUCCUAUUUCAUAUAUAUAUACACACACACACACACACACACAUAUAUAUAUAUACACAUAUAUAUGUGUAUAUAUAUGUGUAUAUAUAUAUAAGCUUUCUGAUGUAACAUGAAGUAGAGAUGUCUUUUGUGUUCUUUCAGACUUGGUACUGUUUCUGUGAGUUCUAUGGUAUAAAUGAAUAUUUAUUUUUAAUAGAGAAAAAUGCCCCAAUAAGAAUGGUGUUGGUAAAAGUCGAAAUUUUAUGUAAAAAUAUAUUAAGAGUUUUCAGUUGGGGACUGUUAAUAUUAAGAAUAUUAUUAUUAAUAUGGUUAUUAACAUAAAUAUUAGGAACAGUUCAUAUAUACAGUAAGAGAGAGUUCUGGUCCCAAAGACCCUGUCUCUCAGGACCCAGGACUCUGAGCCACCCUCCCUUCUUCUUGGGACUCAGGCCUCCAGCACUCACCUCCUCUGAGCUGUAACAGUAUGUGGUUUUCCCGGGUCAUUGUGUACCUAUAGGUGUGGUGCAAGGUCUCAGGUCUUGGCCACAAUUGCCAAUGCAGGACCAAUGGGUUAGGGGAAACUGGAGGGCAGAGAGGGUGGUUGGGAGCUUCACAGACACCUGCUUCAAGCUCCAGAAUGUUGUCUCAGGGCCCUCAUCCCUUCCCAUGCCUCUGACUGGCACUCACCCUUCCUCUUCUGUCCUAGCCCCAAAGCUGGCUUCUAGCACCUGUAGUGAAGGUCAUCUUAAAUAAUCUCUUGGCCUGUUAAUUAGUUUGCUGAGGCUGCCGUAACUAAGUACCACAGAUUGAGAGGCUGAAAGUCCAAAAUAAAGGUAUCAGCAGGGUUGGUUCCUCCUGAGGGCUGUGAGGGAAAGAUCUCUUCCAGACCUUUCUCCUUGGCUUGUAGAUGGCUGUCUUCCUCUUGUGUGUUCACAUCACCUUCCCUCUAUGCAUAUCUUUUAAAAAAAUAUUUAGUUAUUUAUUUUAUUUUUGGCUGCGUCAGGUCUUAGUUGUGGCGCCGGGCUCUUCGUUGCAGCCUGUGGGCUUCUCUUCUAGUUGUGGUGUGCGGGCUUAGUAGUUGCAGCUCUCUAGUUGUGGCAUGUGGGCUCCAGAGCACGUGGGCUCUGUAGUUGCGGCACACAGGCCCUCUAGUUGUGGCUCACAUGCUCAGUAGUUGCGGCGCAUGGGCUUCGUUGCCCCGCGGCACGUGGAAUCUUAGUUCCCCUACCAGAGAUCGAACCCACGUCCCCUGCAUUGGAAGGUGGAUUCUUAACCACUGGACCCCCGGGGAAGUCCCCUUCUAUGCGUGUCUGUGUCCAGAUUUUCCCUUAGUAUGAGGAUACCAGUUGGAUUAGGUCCCACCCUAAUGUCCUUGUUUUAACUUCAUUACGCCUGUGAGGAUCCUAUUUCUAAAUAAGGUCACUUUCUGAGGUCAUGGAAGUUAGGACUUCAACAUGUGAAUCUGGGGGCAAUACCACCCAUAACAGCCUGUUAGAGAGACUUGUGUUACAGAUGAAGCAGUGAGUGCGGAAUAGCGCUCCAGGGGCAUCGUGCUACCAUUUUGUAAUUUCUUCUGUGUUAACGUCAUUCCUGAUGCAGCCUUUGCUUCCCACAGAGGCUACCUUGAUGGCUGGUGAGGGAGGGUGUGAAGAUGCAAGACUGAGGGGUAUCCCCGGAGCGAGUCAGGGGCUCAGAGGCUCACUCAGGGAUUCCAAAUAGGCCAGAACAGUGUCCCUGUUAGCACAAGGUAUAUAUAGUGCAUCCCAGUGGGUGAGUUUGUAGGGGAAACGCCCCUUUCUACCCAAGCCUGCCCAUCUGAUUCUAUUAUGAGAAGAGUAAGGAUCAGAUAUAGGUUCAGUUCUUGGGGGGCUGUAGGAUUUCUCCUGCCUUCAGGCUUGCCCUGUCUUUGACAUCUUUGAGUGAUUCCACAUCAAAGGAUCUGGGAAGAAAGUACCCCCUUUUUCAGCCUGUGUCUGUCCUUCCAGGUCACAGGCUUGGGAAGAUGAUUCUUAAGUCACACUCCAGGUGACCUGGCCAUAGAGUCCCUCCAUCUCAGGUUUAGAAGGAACCUUGGAAGUGUAAGACCCCUUCCUCUAUUCUUCACCCCAUUUCUGUUUAUAUACCUGUAGGGACCUUUCACCACCACCCCUGUGGGAGAAGUGGCUCUGCCGUUUUGGUGUGAGAGAAAUCCCUAGAUCUUUCUUAGCCUGAGCUGAUCUCUUUUCCUUUCUGAGCCUCAGUUUCCUCAUCUGGAAAAUGAGAAGGUUAGUCUAGAGCAAUGGUUGGCAAGUUAUUUGUGACAUUAUAUGGAAAAUAAAAUGAAAACAGAAUGAAUCGAAUGGCUCACCUAUAGUGAGGACAUCUUUUUUAAACACCAACGGGACCAUCAUUGUUCACCUGGAUUAUUGCAAUAAGUGCUGCCCUUGCCCCACUUCAGUCUAUUCCCCUCUUGGCAGCAGAGUGAUCUGGUAAAUAUAAGUCAGAUUGUGUCACAUCUGUGUAAAGCCUUCCAGUGGAUUCCCAUUUUACCCCAAGAGAGAGUCUAAGUCCUUACGAUGGUCUCUAAUGCCCUACUCUGUCCCCACGUCCUGUUCUGCCCUCCCUCGCUCAUUCUGCUUCACCCACACUGGCCUCCAGGCUGUUCCAGGAACGCAUGGCGGGAACACGCUGACCUCAGGCCCUUUGCAUAUGCUCCUCCAGCUCUCUGAAACCAUCCACCUUACGCCCACUUCCUCCCUUCAUUCAUGUCUCUGUUAUAACAGCACUCUUUGCUGACUCUUGUUUAGAAGAACAGCAGCCAUGUCAGUCUCUGACCCCUUGCUCUGCCUGAGUUUCUUCUGAGCACUUAUUGCCUGACAUAUUAUUUGUCUAUAUUUAUUUCUAUGUUCAUUGACUACUUUCCCCAACAAGAAGGUAAGCUCCACAAAGGCAGGGGGUUUGGUUUUGAUUUGUUUAUUCCCUGGUGUAUCCCCGGCAUCUACGACAGAGGCUGGUAAUAGAAGGGGCUUGUUAAAUAAAUACACAUCACAUUGGGGAAUGAGGCUCAAGGAGAUGGUGACGCUCAAAAGCUGGGACUAGCACCCAUGUCUCCGAUUCAGACACUAGGCUUUUAACUGCUGGGCUCUUCCUGACUGUGCCGACCCACCGUUCUCACUGGGACCCCCACCCCUUAUGGGGACAGUCAAGGCCACUCAUGUUUCAGCCCUUCCGUUCUACUUCAAUGUGGGCUCUUGCUGUGGCCUAUUUUGAGCAAUCUAUAUGUGCUUGUACCCAGCCCUCUCUGACCCCCAGGCCUUCACAGGAGCUGUUCUAUCACCCUGGGAUGCCCUUCUGUCCUCUACUUAUUCCCUGACAUCGUGCGCACCUCCCCCUCUGUUUCCUGGUCUUCCUGAUGCUCAGUAAAUAUUUGCUAAACUGUUGAUGUCCAAAGUGUUUUGUCUAUGCCUUUGUAUUAGGAAUUUUUGCUUUAUGGUACAAUGGCUGUGUGUGUGCGUGUGUGUCUGUGUGUCCAUGUGAGUUUGUGCAUACGCUUCUGUACAUGUACAUGUCCGUGUCUCUGUGUGCAUGUGUGUGUGUGUCUGUGCAUGUUUCUCUGUGUGUACAUGCCUGUGUCUAUGUGUAUGUUAUGUGUACAUGUAUGGCUGUAUGUGUAGACCAUGUCUGGGUGUAUUUGUAUGUGUGUCUGGUUCCUUCCAACUGUGUCUGAUCCAUCCCUGUGUACCCAGCACAGGAUUACAGUGUAGGCAUCCAGUAAAUGCUUGCUACUAUAUAAAGCUCCUAUAAACAUUCAUAUAAAAAGACCUUGUUUAGACAUAUAUUCUCAUUUUCUAGGGUAAGUGUAGAACUGCUGGGGCAUAGGGUAGGUGCAUAGUAGGUUUUAUAAGGAAUUCCCAGACCUUCUUCCAAAGUGGUCCCACACUUUUACAUUCUCACCAACAAUGUAGGAGAAUUCCAGUUGCUCCACAUUCUUGCUAACCCAUGGUUUUGUCAGACUUUUAAAUUUAACCAUUCUAGAGGGUGUGUAGUAGUAUCUUGGCAUUUCUCUGAUAAUGAAAAAUGUUGAGUAACUUUUCAUGUGCUAAUUAACUAUUUGUAUACCUUUAUUAGCAAAGUGUCAGUUCCAAUCACUGGCCCAUUUAAAACUGGGUUAUUUGACAUGAAAGGAUGCUCAACAUCACUAAUCAUUAGAGAAAUGCAAAUCAAAACUACAAUGAGGUAUCACCUCACACCGGUCAGAAUGGCCAUCAUCAAAAAGUCUACCAAAAAAAAAAAAAAAAAAGUCUACAAAUAAUAAAUGCUGGAGGGGGUGUGGAGAAAAGGGAACCCUCUUGCACUGUUGGUGGGAAUGUAAAUUGAUACAGCCACUAUGGAGAACAGUAUGGAGGUUCCUUAAAAAACUAAAAAUAGAACUACCAUAUGACCCAGCAGUCCCACUACUGGCAUAUACCCUGAGAAAACCAUAAUUCGAAAAGAGUCAUGUACCACAAUGUUCAUCGCAGCACUAUUUACAAUAGCCAGGACACGGAAGCAACCUAAGUGUCCAUCGACAGAUGAAUGGAUAAAGAAGAUGUGGCACAUAUAUACAAUGCAAUAUUACUCAGCCAUAAAAAGAAAUGAAAUUGAGUUAUUUGUAGUGACGUGGAUGGACCUAGAAUCUGUCAUACAGAGUGAAGUAAGUCAGAAAGAGAAAAACAAAUACCGUAUGCUAACACAUAUAUAUGGAAUCUAAAAAAAAAAAAAAAGGUUCUGAUGAACCUAGGGGCAGGACAGGAAUAAAGGUACAGACAUAAAGAAUGGACUUGAGGACAGGGGGAGGGGGAAGGGUAAGCUGGGACGAAGUGAGAGAGUAGCAUUGACAUAUAUACACUACCAAAUAUAAAAUAGAUAGCUAGUGGGAAGCAACUGCAUCUCACAGGGAGAUCAGCUCGGUGCUUUGUGACCACCUAGAAGGGUGAGAUAGGGAGGGUGGGAGGGAGACGCACGAAGGAGGGGAUAGGGGGAUAUAUGUAUACAUAUAGCUGAUUCAUUUUGUUUACAGCAGAAACUAACACAACACUGUAAAGCAAUUAUACUCCAAUAAAGGUGUUAAAAAGAAAACGGAGUUAUUUGCCAUCUUAUUAUUGCAUUAUAAGAGUGCUUCAUGUUUUCAGUAUACGUGUUGCAAGUAUUUUCUUUCAGUCUGGGACUUGUCUUUUUACUGUUGAGAAAAUGGUAUCUUUUGAAGAGAAGAAGUUUUUCAUUUUGAGAAAGCCCAAUUUAUCAGUUUUUUUCAUGAUUCUUGUUUUUUGGUGUUCAGUAUAAAAAUGUCAUUUACCCUAAGGUCACUAAAAAUUUUUUUGCUAUGUUUUUUUCUAGAAGAUUUAUCAUUUUGCUUUUGAAUUUAGGUUUAUGAUCCAUUUUGAGUUCAUUUUUGUGAAUGGUGUGAGGUAAGGAUUGAGGUCCAUUUUCUCCCUAAAUCCACCAGUUCUAGAAUCCUUUGUAGAAAAGAUUGUCCUUUGUCAU